rnacentral:rRNA from 1 species
AUUGAACGCUGGCGGCAGGCCUAACACAUGCAAGUCGAGCGGUAACACAGGGAGCUUGCUCCUGGGUGACGAGCGGCGGACGGGUGAGUAAUGUCUGGGAAACUGCCUGAUGGAGGGGGAUAACUACUGGAAACGGUAGCUAAUACCGCAUAAUGUCACAAGACCAAAGAGGGGGACCUUCGGGCCUCUUGCCAUCAGAUGUGCCCAGAUGGGAUUAGCUAGUAGGUGGGGUAACGGCUCACCUAGGCGACGAUCCCUAGCUGGUCUGAGAGGAUGACCAGCCACACUGGAACUGAGACACGGUCCAGACUCCUACGGGAGGCAGCAGUGGGGAAUAUUGCACAAUGGGCGCAAGCCUGAUGCAGCCAUGCCGCGUGUAUGAAGAAGGCCUUCGGGUUGUAAAGUACUUUCAGCGGGGAGGAAGGUGUUGAGGUUAAUAACCUCAGCAAUUGACGUUACCCGCAGAAGAAGCACCGGCUAACUCCGUGCCAGCCGCCGCAGUAACAC